rnacentral:lncRNA from 10 species
CCGGCGGCUCCACCCCCUCCUCCCCGCCCACAGCCCGGCGGGCCCGGGACUUCUCUCCGUCAGUCCCGAAUCGCCCACCUCCCCCGGGGUGAGGGGCUGCCUACCCUCUCUCGCGCGCUCCCUCGGCUUUGCCCCCAGUGCCUACCCUCGGCCAGGACCUCGACGCCGUCUCUCUACCGUGCAAAAGCGGGACCUGAGCUGGCGGCAGCCACUGCGCCUGCCCUCAUCAUUCAAACUCAAGGAAUCCAAACGUCUGUUUCUGCUGCACCUGGAUCUAGGGGCUCAAGUCAGUCCACCCUCUAGUGGUCAAGAAGAGAAGUGGCAGCCUCUGCACAUCAGCCAGGUCAGACCUUGAGGAGGUCAGCACAGGGAAAUGCCAAGAUCGGGAUGUGACCAGUAUUGGACAAUGAGAGAUGAGAGGAAGUCGGCUGGAAGGCUUCUAGAAAAAGCAUUCCUCACUAUCAAAAAGAGAUGCGCAAAGCGGCAGCUUCUCUUCUGCUGCUGGAUGUUACCGAAUCUGCAUAUGAUAGUAGGAUGACGGCAGCCACCUUGUAGCAAAGAGCAGAGUUUCCUCCAAGAGAACAUUCUACGGGGAGAAGAGGAAACAGCACCAAUGACAUCACUUUGCCUGAGUUCACAAACCCUACAGGUGCUCCCACCCCCUACAUUUUUCCUUGUGUGAGAUAAUAAAUUCCUUAUUAUUUAAGCCAUU